GACAGAGGGUGCAAACGUUGCUCGGAAUUACUGGGCGUAAAGCGCGUGUAGGCGGACUGGUGUGUCGGAUGUGAAAUCCCCAGGCUCAACCUGGGAACUGCAUUCGAAACUGCCAGCCUUGAGUGGUGGAGAGGGAAGUGGAAUUCCUGAUGUAGAGGUGAAAUUCGUAGAUAUCAGGAGGAACACCAGUGGCGAAGGCGGCUUCCUGGACACCAACUGACGCUGAGACGCGAAAGCGUGGGGAGCAAACAGG
rnacentral:rRNA from 1 species